UACGUAGGUGGCAAGCGUUGUCCGGAUUUACUGGGCGUAAAGAGCGCGCAGGCGGUCGUUCAAGUCGCGUGUGAAAGCCCCCGGCUCAACUGGGGAGGGUCACGCGAUACUGAUCGACUCGAAGGCAGGAGAGGGUAGUGGAAUUUCCGGUGUAGCGGUGAAAUGCGUAGAUAUCGGAAGGAACAUCAGUGGCGAAGGCGACUUCCUGGACCAAUACUGACGCUCAGGUGCGAAAGCGUGGGGAGCAAACAGG
rnacentral:rRNA from 1 species